GAGGAGAGGAGAUCACUGCUGUAGAACUGGAGAGGGAGGGAGAUCACUGCUGUAGAACUGGGAGGAGCGAGAUCACUGCUGUAGAACUGGAGGGAGGGAGAUCACUGCUGUAGAACUGGAGGGAGGGAGAUCACUGCUGUAGAACUGGAGAGAGGGAGAUCACUGCUGUAGAACUGGAGGGAGGGAGAUCACUGCUGUAGAACUGGAGGGAGGGAGAUCACUGCUGUGUGCCUAGGGGAGGGGAGAUCCCUGCUGUGUGCCUGGAGGGAGGGAGGGAGAUCACUGCUGUGUGCCUGGGAGGAGGGAGGGAGAUCACUGCUGUGUGCCUGGAGGGAGGGAGGGAGUGAGGGAGGGAGGCAGGCGCCCUCACCACUAUUGGAUGCCUCUGGGAGGGAGACCGACUACCAGACAGAUUGCUGUACACUGUGCUGUGGCCUAGUGGUGGGAGGGAAGGGAGGGAGGGAGGGAGGGAGGGAGGGAGGGAGGGAGGGAGGGGAGAUCACUGCUGGUGUGCCUAAGGGAGGGAGGGAGGGAGAUCACUGCUGUGUGCUAGAAAGAGGAGGGAGGAGGGAGAUCACUGCUGUGUGCCUAGAGGGAGGGAGAGAUCGACCUGCUGGUGCCUAAGAGGGAGGGAGGGAGAUCACUGCUGUGUGCCUAGAGGGAGGGAGGGAGAUCACUGCUGUGUGCCUGGAGGGAGGGAGGGAGAUCACUGCUGUGUGCCUGGAGGGAGGGAGGGAGGGAGGCAGGCAGGCCCUCACCACUAUUGGAUGCCUCUGGGAGGGAGACAAGACUAACAGACAGAUUGCUGUACCUUGCUGAGGUCCUGCAGAAUGAGUGGGCUCCCCACCAUAGAUUCUACUAUGGGCUGACACUCCAGAACCCUCUUCCUCUCCUCCGCUACGUCCCUGUCCUCCGGCAGUAGGGCCGCAUCCCCCAUCAGAGGCAACUAGGAGACAUACUGACCGUCAUUAUCGAUGAGGUCUUUUUAUACUAUUGGCAUAAUACAGCUGAAGAAAGUGAAGAAAUUACAGCAGGGCACAGUAAUGUUGAAAUUUGACAUGUACCCAACCACACCAAAAUUUUACCAGUUUUUCAGAAAUCUGAAAUUCUUAAAAGAAGAGUAUAAUUUGCUCUUGACUACAGCCCUAUAUAAACAAAUGGGGCAUUAGUUUAAUCUCACUCAGGGCAUCAGGUGGGCACAUUUUCUGAAAACAGCACCCUAUAGUCAACUCUCUGGCCCCUCCCCUUCUAACCUGUUUACGUCUGCUGGCGAGGUGGGUGAGGAAGCGGCGGAGGGUUUUGACACACUGCAUCUCGAUGAUGAAGAGGAGGGUGAUGAAGACUACACCCUGCAGGGACAGGGCCACCAGGAAACGCCCCACCCCCGGCUCCGACAUGGAGAAGUAGUUCUCCUGGUACGUGAUGUCUGGAAGAGUGAGGAGCAACAAGACCAGUCAGUGCUACGAAAGGUUAACUAGAAAAUAGCAUGACAGGCUC
ensembl:lncRNA